rnacentral:misc_RNA from 1 species
UCCGGUUUAACACCGGCAGUCUCCGUAGAGUGCCCAACUGAAUGGUGGCAACUAAGGACAAGGGUUGCGCUCGUUGCGGGACUUAACCCAACAUCUCACGACACGAGCUGACGACAGCCAUGCAGCACCUGUCUCACGAUUCCCGAAGGCACCCGGACAUUUCUGCCCAGUUCCGUGGAUGUCAAGACCAGGUAAGGUUCUUCGCGUUGCAUCGAAUUGAACCACAUGCUCCACCGCUUGUGCGGGUCCCCGUCAAUUCCUUUGAGUUUUAAUCUUGCGACCGUACUCCCCAGGCGGGAUACUUAACGCGUUAGCUUCGGCACUGAAGGGGUCAAUACCUCCAACACCAAGUAUCCAUCGUUUACGGCGUGGACUAC